UGUGUGGAAUACUUCGAUUUUACCAUUGAAACCACAGCAGCCAACUAUUAGCAAAAAGUGUGGACAAAAUAAUACAUUCAGAUUAGGGAGUCUAGUCCUAUAGCUUUGAAUGACAGCACAUGUUUUUCCACCUGCUGUUUGGGAUUUAAACAAAGGAAUACAUGACAAAUAUAUUGGACAAAAUGCAUCCAAAGCCAGGCAGAUGUGAUUGUGCAGAAAGAGAGGAGGAAGGGAAAAAUGUGACAAAAACAAUAUACAGUACAGUGAGAUGGAACUUUGCAGUGCAGAGUGUGGAGAGGAGGAGUGGAGGAGGACGAGGCUUCUAUCCGUAUUGUCAUACAAAAUACAGGCACAAAAAUGGGAGACAUGUCAAAGCAAAGAAGUCAAUGUGAAAAGAAACCAAGGGAUUCAGUGGGACAUACGUACUCGCAUAGCUCAUGUUCCCAGAGUCUGCCUGGGUCCAGGCUGGGUCAGGAGGACUGCUGAGGUCUUGAGGCGGGACCAUCCAGUUCAAGAGACAAAGCACCAUGCUUUCAACACCAGUCAGAUGUGAUCCUGCAGAAAAAGAGGAGGAAGGGAAAAAUGUCAGAGUGACAAAAACAAUAUACAGUACAGUGAGAUGGAAUUUUACAGUGCAGACUGGAGAGGAGGAGUGGAGGAUGAGGUUUAUAUUGUCAUACAAAAUACAGGGACAGAAAUGGGGAACAUGUCAAACUGUAGGCAACUUGUACAGAACCAUGUGCAAAGAUGCACUGAGACACUGGAGACAUGCACUAAGACAUUUGCAAUUUGAUGAAAUCAAUGAGAAAGGACAUUCUGAGAUUUGUAUGUGCAGCCUCUAUUAAAAUGUGUCAUCCCCUUGUGUAGAUCUGUAACUUGAUGAUAUACAUGAUAUAAUUCUAUCUUUCCCCGAGAUCAUAUCAAAUCUGUAUUAGAGCUGCCCACCGGCUACAGAUA